rnacentral:rRNA from 1 species
AGUGAACGCUGGCGGUAGGCCUAACACAUGCAAGUCGAACGGCAGCACAGUAAGAGCUUGCUCUUACGGGUGGCGAGUGGCGGACGGGUGAGGAAUACAUCGGAAUCUACUUUUUCGUGGGGGAUAACGUAGGGAAACUUACGCUAAUACCGCAUACGACCUACGUGUGAAAGCAGGGGAUCUUCGGACCUUGCGCGAUUGAAUGAGCCGAUGUCGGAUUAGCUAGUUGGCGGGGUAAAGGCCCACCAAGGCGACGAUCCGUAGCUGGUCUGAGAGGAUGAUCAGCAAAACUGGAAAGGAGACACGGUCCAGACUCCUACGGGAGGCAGCAGUGGGGAAUAUGGGAAAAUGGGCGAAAGCCUGAUCCAGCCAUACCGCGUGGGUGAAGAAGGCCUUCGGGUUGUAAAGCCCUUUUGUUGGGAAAGAAAAGCAGCAGGUUAAUACCCCGCUGUUCUGACGGUACCCAAAGAAUAAGCACCGGCUAACUUCGU